rnacentral:rRNA from 1 species
UACGUAGGGGGCUAGCGUUGUCCGGAAUUAUUGGGCGUAAAGAGCGCGUAGGCGGCCAGAUAAGUCCGGUGUGAAAGUCACAGGCUCAACCUGUGAAUGCCGCUGGAAACUGUCUGGCUAGAGUCCGGGAGGGGCAACUGGAAUUCUCGGUGUAGCGGUGAAAUGCGUAGAUAUCGAGAGGAGCACCUGCGGCGAAGGCGGGUUGCUGGGCCGGCACUGACGCUGAUGCGCGAAAGCCAGGGGAGCGAACGGG